CAGUUGCCAUGAUCAAUGAUUCAUUGAUAAGGGUGAAUCAUCAAGUAACGGACAAUGGAUGGCGGAGAGAAGAAGGUGAACAUUGAAAUGGCUUGUGUUGACUUAGCGCUCAGUCAAUUUCCAUCCAUUAGGCCCAUUAUGCUGUCAAAAACCUAAAACUCAUGUUUGAAGCCCACAUGUAGUGGAAUACAAAUGUGCUGAAAUAAGGUAUCCUUGCGCUUAAACCAUAGGAUCAUUACUGAAUUUCACAAUUUUGGUGGUGUAACUUGCAACAGCAUGUUUGUUGCUAUGGAUGUUUCUGCUUCUGUUUAGAAGGCACCCCAGCUGAAGGAUAGAGUUUUAGUGACAUCAAGAGUGUGACGUGAAUAAUACCAUGUGUAUGUAUGCAUACAUGUUCCAGUUCUGCUUGAUGCCUUACUAAAUUCAUCACCCGUAUGAUAAAGAUAAGCAUCAAUAUCUCCUUACUGCAAUACUUCGUGACCCUUUUUUUAGCAUAAGGAAAUUUAUCCCACCCGAGGAGUAAUGCAGUUGGUUGGUUGCUCAGUUAUUGAGACAGUCGUCCAGUUAGAUACCCUCCUAUAUCUUGCUGAACAAGGUUGGUGUGGAUGUCUCCUCGAUCGGAUGGCUCUUCGAGAUAUCGAGAGUCGUCAGAGCGACCUAGAGUCUCGUCAAAAAUCGCAUGAAGAUAAGAGCCGUGCUCUCUCUCUCUUGCUGCAUUUUCUCUUCUGGUUGGAUUGGAUUACCAGUUUACCAC